rnacentral:rRNA from 1 species
UGGGGAAUAUUGGACAAUGGGCGAAAGCCUGAUCCAGCAAUGCCGCGUGAGUGAUGAAGGCCUUAGGGUUGUAAAGCUCUUUUACCAGGGAUGAUAAUGACAGUACCUGGAGAAUAAGCUCCGGCUAACUCCGUGCCAGCAGCCGCGGUAAUACGGAGGGAGCUAGCGUUGUUCGGAAUUACUGGGCGUAAAGCGCGCGUAGGCGGUUUCUCAAGUCAGAGGUGAAAGCCCGGGGCUCAACCCCGGAAUUGCCUUUAAGACUGCAUCGCUUGAACGUCGGAGAGGUGAGUGGAAUUCCGAGUGUAGAGGUGAAAUUCGUAGAUAUUCGGAAGAACACCAGUGGCGAAGGCGGCUCACUGGACGACUGUUGACGCUGAGGUACGAAAGCGUGGGGAGCAAACA